AGUGAACGCUGGCGGUAGGCCUAACACAUGCCAGUCGAACGGCAGCACAGUAAGAGCUUGCUCUUACGGGUGGCGAGUGGCGGACGGGUGAGGAAUACAUCGGAAUCUACUUUUUCGUGGGGGAUAACGUAGGGAAACUUACGCUAAUACCGCAUACGACCUACGGGUGAAAGCAGGGGAUCUUCCGACCUUGCGCGAUUCAAUGAGCCGAUGUCGGAUUAGCUAGUUGGCGGGGUAAAGGCCCACCAAGGCGACGAUCCUUAGCUGGUCUGAGAGGAUGAUCAGCCACACUGGAACUGAGACACGGUCCAGACUCCUACGGGAGGCAGCAGUGGGGAAUAUUGGACAAUGGGCGCAAGCCUGAUCCAGCCAUACCGCGUGGGUGAAGAAGGCCUUCGGGUUGUAAAGCCCUUUUGUUGGGAAAGAAAAGCAGCAGGUUAAUACCCCGCUGUUCUGACGGUACCCAAAGAAUAAGCACCGGCUAACUUCGUG
rnacentral:rRNA from 1 species